rnacentral:rRNA from 1 species
UAGAGUUUGAUCAUGGCUCAGAUUGAACGCUGGCGGCAGGCCUAACACAUACAAGUCGAGCGGAAACGACACUAACAAUCCUUCGGGUGCGUUAAUGGGCGUCGAGCGGCGGACGGGUGAGUAAUGCCUAGGAAAUUGCCUUGAUGUGGGGGAUAACCAUUGGAAACGAUGGCUAAUACCGCAUAAUGCCUACGGGCCAAAGAGGGGGAUCUUCGGACCUCUCGCGUCAAGAUAUGCCUAGGUGGGAUUAGCUAGUUGGUGAGGUAAUGGCUCACCAAGGCGACGAUCCCUAGCUGGUCUGAGAGGAUGAUCAGCCACACUGGAACUGAGACACGGUCCAGACUCCUACGGGAGGCAGCAGUGGGGAAUAUUGCACAAUGGGCGAAAGCCUGAUGCAGCCAUGCCGCGUGUAUGAAGAAGGCCUUCGGGUUGUAAAGUACUUUCAGUUGUGAGGAAGGGUGUGUAGUUAAUAGCUGCGCAUCUUGACGUUAGCAACAGAAGAAGCACCGGCUAACUCCGUGCCAGCAGCCGCGGUAAUACGGAGGGUGCGAGCGUUAAUCGGAAUUACUGGGCGUAAAGCGCAUGCAGGUGGUUCAUUAAGUCAGAUGUGAAAGCCCUGGGCUCAACCUAGGAACUGCAUCCGAUACUGACAGGCUAGAGUACUGUAGAGGGGGGUAGAAUUUCA